rnacentral:lncRNA from 1 species
CUUAGAAGAAGGCUGACUAUUCCUAUGGGAGAGACCACACAGAAACUAAAAAUACUUGGAAGAGGAGAGGGGCUCAGUUGAGCCCAACCUUCCAGCCAACUCCAGCAGGGUGGCAAGUAUGAGAGUGAGGAUAUCUUGGAGCCUCAGCAACCUGUGCUAUCCAAUAGCUAUCAGCCACAUGUGACUACUGAGCACUCAAAAUGUGGAGCAUCCUGCAUGAUUCUAUAGCACUCAACAGGUGUCUGCCAAGCGGACAGACUACAGACCCCUCUGGCCGCAUGAUGCUGAGCUUCCCCUUGGACACAUGAAGAUUAAGUUAGUCAAGCAUGGAGAUUCCUCCCUCUCCUUCACAAACUCCAGAUGUUUGGCAUCUCCCCAAUAUCCUAAGACCUCCUGGACUGGGAACAAAAUGAGCGUAGUGAAAGAGGAAGCAGCUUUAGAGAAAGCACCACAGGGAACAAACCAAUAAAAAAGCAGGAAACUCAGCACAAGCCUGAUUUAUGUCACUGCACUUCUCUACUCUCAGCCCCAUUCCCCCAAACUCCCAGCAAGCACACAAGCACACACAGGCACACACAUGCACAUGCGCACACACACAUGCACAUACACAACACACACACACACACAUGCCUUCUGCCAGCAGCUCUCUUUCUCACUCUCACUUUUCUUUUCAAAUGCUGGCAUUUGAAAAAAUCCCCUAUUUUGUUUCACCCUCCUUUUCUGCCUCCCUAAAGAGCUUCCGAAGAGGAGUUUUGAUGGUGCAUCUGAGUGUUAAUAGAUUCGGGAGUGUGAAGCUGUUGCCUGAAUCUCAUUCCCUGAGAGUGCCUUUCUCUUUUUAAUAGCUGAGAAAGAAUUGAUCAAGCCUCUGUUUUAGUCUCUGUUUCUAAACAGAAAGAAAGAAAGAAAAAGGAAGGAAGGAAACAAGGAAGGAAGGACAUACAACGUAAAAACAAAAACAUUUUUACGACGAUCCCUUUUUCAACAGCUAGGGGCAAUCCAGUGUGUUCAGUUGUGUUAGUUCUGUGUCUGUCAGGAGAAAAAGCCAUGUAGAAGUGAUGAUUUAGUUUUCUUGGUGGGAACACAAGGGAAGCUAGUUGAAAGCAAUGGUUGUGGGGUCUUGAAUGGACAGGCAAGUCCGGUAGUCAGAAGAAGAUUUUGAUUAGAAACAGAGGAAUUUCUUCCAGGAAAAUACAUUGUCUUCAUGACAAACCAAAAAUACACCAAAUGUUCUGAAAACUGCCCUUUAAAAAGAAAGAACAGAUUGUUCAAUUGAAACACUUUCCUGAAGCCAAUUGUUGCAGGCUGCCAGCCACCUUCAGUACCAGCCACCCCUCCGUCCUCCCCAGGGCCGGUAUAAGGGGUGCAUGAGAGACACGUGCAUGCAGAAGACUCCACCAUGAUGCCUGGCUCCCAUUGCACUGUCCCAGAGCGGCGUAGUGGCAGCUGGGGUUAGUGCUAUCUGUCAUGAAAGGGCAUUCUACUCCGGUUGGCAGAGAACACUCACACACGGGGAAGCUGAGCCAUCAGUGCAGGAGUUAAUUCCCGUUUGCAAUAAUACUAAGGAUGUCGCAUUCAUAUAUACUCAAUGAGCACUAAAGGAAUCAUAGGAAUAUGCUCUCACAGGAGAUAAUGUAGCCACAGUAGAUAAAGGAGGAUGUCCUGGAAGAAGGGGAACCUUUUUUAAGCCAAGGGAGAAAACCACUGAAAAGUAAAUCUUUGCAUGUAGCUGUGCAGCUCUGCAGAUCUAAAAUCUGUGCUUUUUAAAAGUAUACUCUGUGGAGUAGCAGUCCACAUCAAAAGGUCACAGUUUAAAAGUUUUGUAUUGUGCUUGGGUUAUCCCUUAAGAUGUUAGUUAUAUCAUCACAAAAGAACAAGAGUAAACUGUAAUUUACUAUUUUUGGAGUAUUUUUUUGUUGUUAGGCAUUUGAAGGAUGAGGUGCACAGUGCCCAAGAGUAUGUCACAGCGGCAAUUUCCACUUUAUGCAGAAUUAAUACUCAAUUACUUAUCUGCUUACCUGGACCUUGAGUGAAUAAUAGAUUCCUAAUAAAGGGUUUUUGAGCAAAUGGACAAAUUGGAUGCAUUUAUGUUAUAGCAGCCACAACAGCAAAAGAAAAUCAAACACUUACAAAACAGAAGUCAAUCAAGUUUUAACUAGAGGAGACACCAAAGUAUCAUACAGUGGAGGAAAAAUUCAAAUGUUCUGCGCCAAGCUCCUAUCAUGCCAAUUGUACAUGUUUGUGCGUAUGUAGGGUAGCUAGGGUUGGAUGUGUAAUCAUCCCUAAAAUUCAUUUGGUGAAGAAAAAUACAUUUUAUUUGAAAUCAUUGUCUAUUUUUAUUCCUGCCAAUAUUUUGUAUAACAUAGAAGUCUGCCCCAGAGUGUAAAUAAAUAAUGAGGAAGGUCACAGAUCUAAAUAUACUAUCUUGGUUCAAUAAUAAAAAGAGAAUUUUUUCCUCGU